rnacentral:rRNA from 1 species
UACGGAGGAUGCGAGCGUUAUCCGGAUUUAUUGGGUUUAAAGGGUGCGUAGGCGGCUUAGUAAGUCAGCGGUGAACUUUUGCAGCUUAACUGUAACAGUGCCGUUGAUACUGCCAGGCUAGGAUUUGGUUGCUGUGGGUGGAAUGUGUGGUGUAGCGGUGAAAUGCUUAGAUAUCACACAGAAUAUCGAUUGCGAAGGCAGCUCACAAAGCCAAGAUUGACGCUGAGGCACGAAAGUGUGGGGAUCAAACA